ensembl:ncRNA C03C11.7 ncRNA
AAAUCGGCUGCCCGGACGUUCCUGCGUCUUGCCGCACUCCAUGAUCUCUCCGUGUUCUAGAGCCCCCGAGUUUGUCUAAUUGAUAUAGCGCAAAGUUCAGAACGGAUUACGGUAAUUGAUGUAAUCUGGUCUUGUGUCUCAUUUCC